AGGAGGAAUAUCAAAUGGUAUUGACAGAGGGCGGUUUUGGUCCCAUCACAACAGAAAUCCGGGAGGCUCCGGAGUUUUAUUACGCCGAAGAUUACCAUCAGCAGUACCUCAGUAAGAACCCCGACGGAUACUGCGGCCUCGGGGGAACAGGGCUUUCCUGCCCUAUUGGGAUCAAGAAAUAGCCUGUGCUUACUCCACUGCCUCCACUUCGGUUUAAGGAGUUGUUUGAAAAAAGACCGACAACCCUGAUAGGUGUUAUGGUAUACCCGCAGCUUCAGUGCAUAAAGAUUUGGGAUCCUGUUGGGGCGGCUUUCUGUAAUCUUGAGCAGUUUCCCAUUCACCGACAUUAAAACAAAAAAGAGACACAAAAAUUGCACCUGUUGGCAAAUGCAGCUUCUUGCUCAGUGCAGCUCACUGGGUAUCCUUGCAGUCUUGUGAUCUGGAGAGAAAAGAAACUUCUAAAAAUUUCGUUAGAAAUGCUGUUAAAAAGAUGAAUUAGGGGGUGGUUGCACCUGCUAACUGCUUUGCAUAGUUAAUGCCUUCGGACGUUUAUUUUCUUGGGUUAAUGAAUUCGCUCAUGUUAUGAGAGCUUUGACUUCUGGAGACGUGGUUGGGCUCAUCUUAACUAUCACAACCCUGUAAUUUGAUGUCUUUGAGAAUGGUGAGUUUAUAAGGUCAGUAACUUUCUCACAGUUCCACUUUCACAGCAACAUGUAAUAUCACCUAUAGUGCCUAUUUUCUGAAACAAUUUUAGUAAGAAAAAGUAAAAAUUGUAAUGUGAUACUUCUUUUUGACAGUUCCAAAAAGUGUAUAAACACAAAAAGAAAUCAAUUUUGUUUCCUGCACUGCAAUAAAUUACAA